rnacentral:tRNA from 1 species
GAGGGUGUAGCUCAGUGGUAGAGUGCAUGCUUAACAUGCACGAAGUCCUGGGUUCAAUCCCCAGUACUUCCA